rnacentral:sRNA from 1 species
AAACUUCAGCGUCACAGCUGAAGACUGGCUUCGUGGUCCCUGAUGGGAGAGCAUGAACAGGUGGUAUGUGAAGCCCUUGGAGACCAGCUCUUCCAAAGUCAAAGCCAAGACCAUUGUGAUGAUUCCCGACUCCCAGAAGCUCCUGCGAUGUGAACUUGAGUCGCUCAAGAGCCAGUUACAGGCCCAGACCAAGGCUUUCGAGUUCCUGAACCACUCAGUGACCAUGUUGGAGAAGGAGAGCUGCUUGCAGCAAAUCAAGAUUCAGCAGCUUGAAGAGGUGCUGAGCCCCACAGGCCGCCAGGGAGAGAAGGAGGAGCACAGGUGGGGCAUGGAGCAGGGUCGGCAGGAGCUGUAUGGGGCCCUGACCCAAGGCCUUCAGGGGCUGGAGAAGACCCUGCGUGACAGUGAGGAGAUGCAGCGGGCCCGCACCACUCGCUGCCUGCAGCUGCUGGCCCAGGAGAUCCGGGACAGGUCGGGGAUGGCGGGAGGGCAGCUUGGAGUCCACAGGAGGGAAGGGAGACCCAGAACUGGGGAAUGGAGGCAGGAUGGGGGAAAUGGCAGAUGCCUGGGGGAGGGGGGACUGAGGGAUGGUGGAAAGCCUGAGGGACAAGAAGAGGGAAUGAGGCCGGGUGUGGUGGCUCAUUCCUGUAAUCCCAGCACUUUGGGAAGCCGAGAUGGGCGGAUCACCUGAGGUCAGGAGUUCGAGACCAGCCUGGCCAACAUGGUGAAACCCCAUCUCUACUAAAAAUACAAGAAUUAGUCAGGCAUGGCGGCGGGUGCCUGUAAUCCCAGCUACUAGGGAAGCUGAAGCAGGAGAAUCACUGGAACCCAGGAGGCAGAGGUUGCAGUGAGCUGAGAUCGCGCCACUGCACUCCAGCCUGGGCGCCUGGGCGGCAGAGCGAGACUCUGUCUAAAAAAAAAAAAAAAUGAGGAGGGGAUGAGAGGCUCA